AAAAAGGUAAGCUAAUUAAGCUAAAGGGUUCAUACCCCUAAAAUGGAGGUCAAGUCCCCCCCUCUUUG
rnacentral:tRNA from 1 species